rnacentral:lncRNA from 1 species
GUGCAUUCUGACGAAUAACAGCAAAGCUGCAGCCUCAGGUGGAUCAGGACAAGAUUCAGCCUCCUGAACAGCUUUCACAAGCGCUGUAGAGGCUGCUCUGCAGGGGAGGCGCUCCCUUCUUUGAAUGUGUGGGGUUACAAGUGCCUUUCCCAGCUGCUCCAGGAACACCCUCCUCUUGUGGAUGAUGACCAUGGGCCAGCGGGCAGUCAUCCUCCUGCAACCUGGUGCUCAGGAGGACCACAUUCUUGUUCUUCAAUGGGAGGACAACGACCCAACACACCUCCAGGCUGUGUAAGGGCUAUUUUACCAAGAAGGAGAGUGCUGUAUCAGAUGACCUGGCCUCCACAAUCCCCCCCUCAAGAAAAUGUAAUAGUUUGAGAUGAGUCGGAACACAGAGUGAAGGAAAAGCAGCCAACAAGUGCUCAGCAUAUGUGGGAACUCCUUCAAAACUGUUGGAAAAGUAUUCCUCAUGAAGCUGGU